GCCAGGCUUGGUGGCAUAUGCCUGUAAUCCCAGCAGCUUGGGAGGCUGAGGCAGGAGGAUUGGGAGUUCAAUCAGCAAAAGCGAGGUGCUCAGCAACUCAGUGAGAUCCUGUCUCUA
rnacentral:sRNA from 1 species